GAUUCACUACUUCUUUGGAUAUUGUCUCAUUUAAUAGGCUGAAGCUGUUUUCCCACUUUGUUCCAGGUCAUGUGAAGGGGAAAAGAUCAUGGAAGAGCCAUAUCUGUUGAUUUAAAGCACAGACCUUCUGCUCACAUCACGAGCACUUAAUCACAUGUCAUACCUAGCUACUGAGGAUGCUGGGAAAUGUAGUUUCUAAUUUAUGAGCCUCGUCUGAACUCUGUUAUAGAAGAAGAAGAGGACAGGGUUUGGUAUAUUAAGUACUUCUGGUACAGCAAAGUAAAUCAAUGCUUGACCUUCAGCCCACACGGGAAGCCCACUCCCGCUAACAUCACAACAGCAGCAACAACAAACAACAAGCCCAGUGAGCACUCUGUGAUCUCUACUAAACUGUCUGAGGAGAUUGACUAUCUACUCUCUGAAGUUAGUGUGGGCCGUCAAGAUUUGUCUUGGAAAAUGAUGUGAAAGACGAAAUGGUAUGUGUCACUCCUGGGCCACUCAAGACGAGUCAAUUUCAGGCACCAGUUGGAGAGACAUGCCUAACCUUUUGGAAAGAUGCUGAUUAAGGCUCAGAAAACUAUUUCACUGGGGCCGCUAUUGAUACAUUUGCUGGAAGAAUUCAUAGACUGUUUUAAAGAGUAAAUUAGAUUAUGGAGGUAAAGUUCCUACUGCAGCUUCAGGGGUGUUGUCAGUGUCGCCAUAAACGUAUGGGAAUGUGUGAAAGUAUGUGAGACACCUGCCUGGCUCACAGUAGUUGCCCAAUACAUGUUAUUGGAAAACUAGAUGAAUGGCUACUUCGGAAGUGUAUGCAAGAGAAGAAUUCAGUCUCAUUUACACAUCAUUCAGCCUUAAAUCCCCACAUUCAACUCCGAUACCAAGACAAUGGGUCUACCUCUUCUCCACAUAGUUCUUCAAUUGACUAUUGUAUCUUUGUUUGUUUGACUUUAUUUUUCCUUGCUCUACUCAGACUGAUUAUAUUUUGAACCUAUUUUGCCUGUGUCUUGGAUUUUGUUGGAAGAAGAAAGCAUGUAUUUCCUAUUCCUUGAAUCCCAUAAUAGCUGAUCUUUCCGUUCUUGAGCUUAAAUCCUUUUCAGCUGCUUCCUUUUCUGGGCUGAGGGCAGAGGUGUGAGCAUUGAGGAGUAAUAAUUUCUGAGGACCUGAAACUUUCUUCUCAGAGUCCACACAUAUAUUCAUGAGUUUGGUUCAAAGGUCUUAGAUCAUGUAGGGACACACACAGAAUGGACAUGAAAUGGCCCAUUUUGAGCACAGUCAUGAAACCAGCUGCACAGUAGCUUAGCAAUCUGGGUCUGUAGGAAGGGAAUCAAUACUUAUUGUGCUAGGCUCUGUGCUAAGUACUUUUAAGCACAUUGUCUCAUUCUGCAAAGAACUCUGGGGCAUUAUAAUGAGAAAGCAUAAGAGAGGGAAACCAAAGAUGCCUUUGUUGAGUACAACACAACUAGCCCUUGUGGUCAAGCAUCUUUUUAAAUGCUUUUAUAUAACUUCACAAGUCUCCGAGGUGGCUAUGUGAUUCUUAUUUUGUAGACAUGGAAACGGAAACUCAGAGGGGUUAAAUCUCUCAUGUAAGUAAGAUUCCCCAGUGAGAAACAGAGAAGGCCAGGUUUUGAACCCAUUUGCUGGCUUGUGCGCUUUUUUUAUGUGUUUUGCUUGUUUAUGUCUUCUUCAUUUUUUGAGGAAAUAAUGCUGUUUAUUUUGCA